UACGAAGGGGGCUAGCGUUGCUCGGAAUUACUGGGCGUAAAGGGCGCGUAGGCGGAUAGUUUAGUCAGAGGUGAAAGCCCAGGGCUCAACCCUGGAAUUGCCUUUGAUACUGGCUAUCUUGAGUUCGGGAGAGGUGAGUGGAAUGCCGAGUGUAGAGGUGAAAUUCGUAGAUAUUCGGCGGAACACCAGUGGCGAAGGCGACUCACUGGCCCGAUACUGACGCUGAGGCGCGAAAGCGUGGGGAGCAAACAGG
rnacentral:rRNA from 1 species